GCCUGAGAAUUUUGAAGAUUGCACAUUUGAGUGGUUAUAUUGGCCCCAAGCCCGCCAACCAUUCAGUUCCGAAACUCUUGACUACAUAAGGUCCCUAGAUGCAGAGCACGAUAUUGCGCUUCUCAAAUUUUAUGGCUGGGAGUUGUCGCUCGAGUGCUCACGCACCCUUCGCAUUUCAACCAUGCUUUUGAAGAAGGGAGCAGAAAGGGGGCUCACUCCCUAUGAUAUAGGAAGCAUCUUGUGCCGAGUUACUCUCAAGAAGGAAUCGAAGAUCGAGGA
rnacentral:misc_RNA from 1 species